rnacentral:rRNA from 1 species
UACGAAGGGGGCUAGCGUUGCCCGGAAUCACUGGGCGUAAAGCGCACGUAGGCGGAUUGCUAAGUCAGGGGUGAAAUCCUGGAGCUCAACUCCAGAACUGCCCUUGAUACUGGCGGUCUCGAGUCCGGGAGAGGUGAGUGGAACUGCGAGUGUAGAGGUGAAAUUCGUAGAUAUUCGCAAGAACACCAGUGGCGAAGGCGGCUCACUGGCCCGGUACUGACGCUGAGGUGCGAAAGCGUGGGGAGCAAACAGG